rnacentral:tRNA from 1 species
GCAAUGGUGGUUCAGUGGUAGAAUUCUCACCUUUCACGUGGAAGACCUGGUUCAAUUCUUGGCCGAUACA